AUGAUGAAAUCACGUUGGAGGAAUGCAGUUCAACCGUGUGUACAGAAGUCACCAUAACUGGUGAACUGAGUGAGGGAGGUGAAAUUGAAAGCGAUUACGACGGCAAUCUGGAUAGUGACAGGGCAGAGUCUAUUAUUUACAUAAAGUACUGUUGCGAUAGAGCCAACAGAGAUUACAGUUCAGAUAGAUACGAAUAUGAAACUGAAGGCAUUG